AGAGGCGGACGGGUGAGGAACGCUUGGGAAUCUGCCUAUCAGCGGGGGACAACCCGGGGAAACCCGGGCUAAUACCGCAUACGCUCUACGGAGGAAAGCCGGGGACCGCAAGGCCUGGCACUGAUAGAUGAGCCCAAGUCGGAUUAGCUAGUUGGCGGGGUAACGGCCCACCAAGGCGACGAUCCGUAGCUGGUCUGAGAGGACGAUCAGCCACACCGGAACUGAGACACGGUCCGGACUCCUACGGGAGGCAGCAGUGGGGAAUAUUGGACAAUGGGCGAAAGCCUGAUCCAGCGACGCCGCGUGGGUGAAGGAGGCCUGCGGGUUGUAAAGCCCUUUCGGUAGGGACGAAAGCUCUCGACCUAACACGUCGGGAGGUUGACUUAACCUACAAAAGAAGCACCGGCUAACUCUGUGCCAGCAGCCGCGGUAAUACAGAGGGUGCGAGCGUUAAUCGGAAUUACUGGGCGUAAAGCGCACGUAGGCGGCUUGGUAUGUCGGGUGUGAAAUCCCCGGGCUCAACCUGGGAACUGCAUCCGAAACUGCCUUGCUCGAGUAUGGGAGAGGGAAGUGGAAUUUCCGGUGUAGCGGUGAAAUGCGUAGAUAUCGGAAGGAACAUCAGUGGCGAAGGCGACUUCCUGGACCAAUACUGACGCUCAGGUGCGAAAGCGUGGGGAGCAAACAGGAUUAGAUACCCUGG
rnacentral:rRNA from 1 species